rnacentral:sRNA from 1 species
UCCAGGUACGACCCCAGCAGUCGCACGU